GAUGAACGCUGGCGGCGUGCUUAACACAUGCAAGUCGAACGGAAAGGCCCAAGCUUGCUUGGGUACUCGAGUGGCGAACGGGUGAGUAACACGUGGGUGAUCUGCCCUGCACUUCGGGAUAAGCCUGGGAAACUGGGUCUAAUACCGGAUAGGACCACUUCUUGGAUGUUGUGGUGGAAAGUUUUUUCGGUGUGGGAUGAGCUCGCGGCCUAUCAGCUUGUUGGUGGGGUAAUGGCCUACCAAGGCGUCGACGGGUAGCCGGCCUGAGAGGGUGUACGGCCACAUUGGGACUGAGAGACGGCCCAGACUCCGACGGGAGGCAGCAGUGGGGAAUAUUGCACAAUGGGCGCAAGCCUGAUGCAGCGACGCCGCGGGGGGGAUGACGGCCUUCGGGUUGUAAACUCCUUUCGCUAGGGACGAAGCGUUUUGUGACGGUACCUGGAGAAGAAGCACCGGCUAACUACGUG
rnacentral:rRNA from 1 species